UGGAGGAAUUGUUACAUUCGUCAUCAUUUUGAACAGUAUGAUAUGAUAACUGCUUAAUCAGCCCCUACAAAUCCAAUCACAAUUUGAUAUUAUUGUUAACUUUUAUCUGGACCAUCUGCUCAAGCGCGAAUUGUAAACGUCCAUUUCGUUAUGGCCAAUGCGAUGUACCCAAUCACUGAUCGCUCAGCAUUGAUAUAUGACUUGCGAUACAGCCAUUAGGUAAAAAUCGUCAAUACCUGGAAGGGACGGAAGUGGGGAUUUAUUAAAUGAACUGAAACUGACACAGAAGGUCAGUCGUAGGCGAAACGUCGAUGGAAGAUGAUGUGACGUUGGUGUAUAGUGUAGUUAUAAACCAACGAGACGCCACGUGAACGCAGAAUCAUUUAGCAUCCUCUCGAUGUCAUUGAUGUCCGUGUUGAUUAUCCCAGGUGGUAGAAGGUGCGAUCAAUGUAGUAUUCCUCUUGUGCUUUGGUUCCUCAUCAGAUGACGUUUGAUAACGCAAUGGUUUUUGAACGCUUUUGCCAAUCUAUACAUGUCCAUCUAUACAUGACUUGAUGCCAAUUAUGACGAUGUAAGUCAAGCCAGGCAAGAUGCAUGCCAUCAACAUCAACAUGAAUAUGCUAUCUAUGCACAGGACACCCCAGUGCAGAAAGAUAUUACAUAUAAAAGAAAAAUGAACGGAAUAUUACAAAAAACUUUGCAAUGUGUCCAAGAUUGCCAUAUUGUACCACAGAAACUACAUAACCUACCAAUUUCAACAUUGGAACAAAUAGAGGAAUUUGAAAAUCAAAGUGAUGAAAGUUAUUCUGAAGCUGUAACAUUAAUAGUGGUAAUUAUACAGAAUACCUUC
rnacentral:lncRNA from 1 species